AAGAAAGUCAGUGGAGGCUGCCGGAGGUCUCAGGCUGGUGUUUUUAUGAGGCUGAUUCACAGGUCUGGACAGGGCUGAUUGUUAGAGGAUGUUUCCUUUGAAAAAUAUCCCGGAGGGUAGGUAGAGUGGCCCCCCGGGCAUCACAACCUCGGAGGAAGCAGGGUCAGAGAGGAGAGGUCGCACCCCUGCAUGGAGAGGGCCCAGACUCACCACUCAGGCUGCUUUUCAGGAGAAGGAAAAGCUGGUAACUUUGGCCACACGCUGUGCCAGACGCCGGGGCCGGGGAAUUCAAACACGACGUCGACUUGACAGCGCAGUGCCGAGCCCAGCGACCAGCGUGUAGCUGGAUGACCAAAAAUCCUCUCUCCCUAACUCUUUGGUGUCUGACAUUCUUUGCGACCGUCCUGCAAGGGCUGAGACUAUGACGUCAUAGUAUCAUAUAUAGAUGAGGUGACUGAGGCUGGAGAGGGACUUCUCCAAGGUCACACAAGGUAAGGGGUAGGGACCGAUUCUUAAUCCAGGUUUACCUGCUUUUUCUCGGGCAUGCUGCCUCUUGGAAAGCAGGUGCUUCCAGAACAUUAAAAAUUAGCUCCUAGGAUAGGGAUUGGGUCAUGGGGUUGAUGCCUGGCGCCUAAGAAAUGUUCAUUAUCUCUGACAGCAAGAAGGCAGCAGGAUCACUGGCGGGAUUGGCGGGAAGGGAGCUUCCUAUAAAACCAGCAGGGCAUUCACGGAAAUUCCGAGAGGCUCCUGGUUGUUAAACACCCCCCCCCGCACCCCCACCCCUUGCUCAUUCGUCAGGGCUGUGUUUCUGGGCCGCCAUGUGCCGAAGAGCUCCGGGAAUUCGACGGACCUCUGUUUCACGUGGGGUGUGACAACGGGUCGUAAAACGGACGAACUGCCGUGGCACACCUAGGUUCUGUGCCUCGGAGUUUCGGAGAGAAGCGGCCCAGGAAUGCCCACCAGGAGCCCAACUUUCCUGAGAGACAGGCUCCUUACGACAGGGGACUAGUGCCGCUGCUCCCAGGCUGGCAGUGGGCGUUGGGCCGGGGAGCGUGGGCCGGGCCGCGGCAGAGCCUCUCCACGAAGAGGGAUGUUCUUUCCCUGCGAGAGGCUGCUUCCUCUUGGGGAUCUUUCCCCAGCGACUGCUCCCCACCACCUGGUCUGCGGCUGGGAGGGAGACAGCUCUGCUGUCUUGAAUGCUGUGACCCGGGAACAGACACAGCCGUGUUCCUGAGGCCAGGUGAACGGCUGGGCCAGGAGGAGGGGGCUUUACUGCAGGUGCAGAGGUGGUGGCGGUCACACACCUUCGGCUCCUGGUCUGCUGCUCCAGCUGCCUCUCCGCCUAGCCGCGGACCUGCCCCCAUCUUUCUCCUACUGUGCAGAUACGCCUUGAAGCAAGGCAGCCGGCAGGGACACC
rnacentral:lncRNA from 1 species